rnacentral:rRNA from 1 species
UACGGAGGGUGCAAGCGUUAAUCGGAAUUACUGGGCGUAAAGGGUUCGUAGGUGGUUGUAUAAGUUAUCUGUAAAAGCCCUGGGCUCAACCUGGGAAGGCCAGAUAAAACUGUAUGACUCGAGUAUAGGAGAGGGUAGUGGAAUUUCCGGUGUAGCGGUGAAAUGCGUAGAGAUCGGAAGGAACACCAGUGGCGAAGGCGGCUACCUGGCCAGAUACUGACACUGAGGAACGAAAGCGUGGGGAGCAAACAGG